rnacentral:rRNA from 1 species
GAUGAACGCUGGCGGCGUGCCUAAUACAUGCAAGUCGAGCGAACAGAUAAGGAGCUUGCUCCUUUGACGUUAGCGGCGGACGGGUGAGUAACACGUGGGUAACCUACCUAUAAGACUGGGAUAACCUCGGGAAACCGGAGCUAAUACCGGAUAACAUUUGGAACCGCAUGGUUCUAAAGUGAAAGAUGGUUUUGCUAUCACUUAUAGAUGGACCCGCGCCGUAUUAGCUAGUUGGUAAGGUAACGGCUUACCAAGGCAACGAUACGUAGCCGACCUGAGAGGGUGAUCGGCCACACUGGAACUGAGACACGGUCCAGACUCCUACGGGAGGCAGCAGUAGGGAAUCUUCCGCAAUGGGCGAAAGCCUGACGGAGCAACGCCGCGUGAGUGAUGAAGGGUUUCGGCUCGUAAAACUCUGUUAUUAGGGAAGAACAAAUGUGUAAGUAACUGUGCACGUCUUGACGGUACCUAAUCAGAAAGCCACGGCUAACUACGUG